UAGCUCUUGCUCCAUCCACGCGUUCGUCGGCCUGACCCGCUAUGCAUGGCGCGGAGAAAAACAGGUGCCCAUGCUGCUUCAUCAAUGGUCGCAGACAGCCGUUCAAAGCGGUGCGCAGGUUGGGGAUCGUUCUGUGCAUGCUUCGAAGAAAGCAGCGCUCACAGGUACGGUGCGUGCAUCUAGAGGGGACGGCAUUUCAGCUGGUGCAGCGCAAGUGGCAUAGCCUGACUGGCUGCAAGCGACCCGUGCCCAAAAUGUCAGACUAUAGAUGCGCCUUUGUGCCACCGACGCUCGCCGCAGGAACAAGAGCUGCGCUCUAAAAUGCAUUUGCGAAACACACCACAUCCUGCUGCAGUGUUGGUCUCCGUUGUAUUAUCGUUGCUGCACUGGCGUCCAAACACGUAUCGAAACAAUGCUUUCCUUUGAAUAAUAGCCAUGAAUCUCAAAGGCCAUGCUUUUUUGGUACUGUGAGCGCCGAUAAACGUCAUAGCUGCCAUUUUUUUAGACAUUACCUGGUGUUGCUUCUCGGUAGAACACCUCGUAGAGAAUGAGCAUAGCCUCUAGGACAUUAUAUGAAAGGAGAAAGAAAAAUAAAUAACACGCAGUGCCACGCCCAUGUUCUUAUCUUGACGGUACUUAGAGAGGGAGAAAACCAACCUGCAGCAGAGGCGUUGGCCGAGCCUGGCCUCGCGCAAGUGCAUCUCUCUCCAUUCGGGCCUAAACAAUGGGCCACAGAUGGAAAGAGCAAAGCAAUAAGGCCAGCACAGUGAAACCAGCAUCGCCAGCAUGCUCUUGCGCACUAGCACUCUCCCCAUCCACGAUGGCGUGAAGUUCGAAUUAUCGGUGGCAGUGCGGAUUGCAGGGUUAAUUAGCGGGAUGCAUUACAUAUUGCUUUCAGUACACUUUUGGACGCACCGUGGUGGCCACUUCAAGUUACCCGAAAUGUUGAAUUAACGAGUGGUGAAUGAACGAGCUUUUACUGUAUAUUGUCACUAGAAAGACGAGUUGCAUGGUCCUGUAAGCACCUUGGGACCAGGGUUGGAGUCGAGCAUAAGGUACCCUAUUUUCCUGAAUCUAAUGCGCACCUUUCUUCCGCGAAAAUGGGUCUGAAAAUUGCCUUUAUGUUACAGUCGAAUACUAAGCCAAAAGCGCGUUUGCUUCAUUGGCAACAGGCUACCAUCAUAGCCAUCGAACACAGUGUCAUCGUCAUCACGAAAUGGCAACAGAGCAUGAUUUUGUGAAGGUUGCUGUCGGUAUCACUUAGUGCUCGACUAUAAUCUUGUGUGGUAUUUUUGGCCAAUAACUUUUGGACAUAGUAUCACUUGUGCAAAAUUUUGUGCGGCUCAGCACUCGACGCGCUGGUGUAAUUGGCUGCCAGUGUUUCUGGUGCUGUGCCAAGCUCACUCUCUGCACAUGGUGCCAGGAAUGCUGUUGGUAGCAUACUUUUGACAAGUCUGGUGGAUAGUCUCGUGAAAGUAACACUAGUAUCUCUAAAACCGAUCACUCGAGAUUACCGUGUCUAUAUGCUUGGUAUUCGUGGCCAAUGGCAAAGAUGACGGGCCACUUUCAUUGCUAAAGCUCAUUUAA
rnacentral:lncRNA from 1 species